rnacentral:rRNA from 1 species
GAUUAGUGGCGAACGGGUGAGUAACACGUGGGCAAUCUGCCCUUCACUCUGGGACAAGCCCUGGAAACGGGGUCUAAUACCGGAUAACACUCUGUCCCGCAUGGGACGGGGUUAAAAGCUCCGGCGGUGAAGGAUGAGCCCGCGGCCUAUCAGCUUGUUGGUGGGGUGAUGGCCUACCAAGGCGACGACGGGUAGCCGGCCUGAGAGGGCGACCGGCCACACUGGGACUGAGACACGGCCCAGACUCCUACGGGAGGCAGCAGUGGGGAAUAUUGCACAAUGGGCGAAAGCCUGAUGCAGCGACGCCGCGUGAGGGAUGACGGCCUUCGGGUUGUAAACCUCUUUCAGCAGGGAAGAAGCGAAAGUGACGGUACCUGCAGAAGAAGCGCCGGCUAACUACGUGCCAGCAGCCGCGGUAAUACGUAGGGCGCAAGCGUUGUCCGGAAUUAUUGGGCGUAAAGAGCUCGUAGGCGGCUUGUCACGUCGGAUGUGAAAGCCCGGGGCUUAACCCCGGGUCUGCAUUCGAUACGGGCUAGCUAGAGUGUGGUAGGGGAGAUCGGAAUUCCUGGUGUAGCGGUGAAAUGCGCAGAUAUCAGGAGGAACACCGGUGGCGAAGGCGGAUCUCUGGGCCAUUACUGACGCUGAGGAGCGAAAGCGUGGGGAGCGAACAGGAUUAGAUACCCUGGUAGUCCACGCCGUAAACGUUGGGAACUAGGUGUUGGCGACAUUCCACGUCGUCGGUGCCGCAGCUAACGCAUUAAGUUCCCCGCCUGGGGAGUACGGCCGCAAGCUAAACUCAAGGAAUUGACGG